GAAGGGGUAUAUGAAGUGACUGAGGGUAGUGGGGACUAUGUCCUACCAGGACAAAGCAGGACAACAGUGUGUGAGCUGGCCCUUUCAGGACAGAGUAGCACUACAGUGUGUGAGCAGGCCCAUGACAAUGAUGAUGAUAGUGAUGGUGGAGUGAGUGAUGACGAUGAUGAUGAUGAUGAUAAUGAUAAUGAUGAUCAUCAUCAUGACAGCGACGACACACAAAGUCAGUUAGCACAGUGGGCAGUUAGGAGAAGGAUCAGCCAUGCUGCGUUAGGGGAUCUACUAUCCAUUCUGUCUGGCAAAUUUCAUGGGUUGCCAAAAGACCCAAGAACAUUACUCAAAACAAAAACCACUCAUGAUGUUAAAAGUGUUUCAGGUGGUACUUACUCUCAUUUCGGUUUUAAUGACGCCAUUUCGUCUCAUCUUUCCAAAAACAACAAUCCUUUGCCUUUAACAAUACAAGUGAACAUUGAUGGCCUGCCCCUCUACAAAAGUUCAAAUGCCCAGUUCUGGCCAAUUUUAGGACUAAUUGAGUGUUUCAAAAAUCAGGUACAAACAAAUAAGGUUCCUUUUGUUAUAGGAAUUUACUUUGGAAAUCACAAACCGACAACCCUUGACUUUCUGACAGACUUUGUUAGUGACGUACGUCUUCUGGAGAGAGAUGGUUUCUGUUACCAGGGUGCCUCUGUUUCAGUCGCCCUGUCUGCAGUAGUUUGUGAUGCACCUGCACGCGCGUUUGUCAGAAGUUCAAAGGGUCACACAGGAUUUUUUUGCUGUCACAAAUGCCAUCUAAAGGGAGUAACCUAUCAGGGUAGGAUGACAUUUCCACAAUUUGAUGCACCUGCUCGACUAGACAGUGAUCAUUUGGAGGAAUUAAAUGAUGAUCAGCAUUUCACUGGAUUUAGUCCAUUCAGCCUUCUGUCCGUAGGAAUGGUCACACAGUUUCCCCAUGACUACAUGCAUGUGGUUUGCUUAGGGGUAGUGCGGAAACUGUUGUACUUCUGGAUGAAAAAACCAUUACACACUCGCAUAGGUACACCUGCUGUAAAAGAGGUGUCAACUGAACUCUUGCGCUAUCGUUCCCAUCUUCCCAUCUUCCAAGCGAGUUCAACCGUAAGCCCCGACCUCUGUCCGAAUUUGAGAGAUGGAAAGCUACUGAGUUUCGCUCAUUCCUACUAUAUACUGGGCCAGCAUGCUUAAAGGGUAGAGUGCCGACACCAAUUUAUGACAACUUUAUGUUGCUGUCUGUGGCCAUGACCAUCUUACUUAGUGUCACCUUAGUGGGAGAUAAGGCAGACUAUGCCCACACCCUACUCUUGGCAUUUGUAAAGCACUGCAGCGAAGUCUAUGGUAGGGAGUACGUUGGGUACAACAUGCAUGCAUUAGUUCACCUUAGUGCACAAACAGAGAAGUAUGGAGUGUUAGACAACGUAUCAUGCUUCCCAUUUGAGAACUUCCUUGGGCAACUAAAACACAUGAUCAGAAAGCCAAACAAGCCCCUAGAACAGGUCAUCCGCCGCUUGUCUGAGAGGAGCUUUAAGUCCAGCGAGUGUGUUACUAGUGUGACGUCCAGUCUAUCCAUCGAGCAUUUCAGUGGCCCUGUACCACCUCACAUUAGUGCAAUCAAGCAGUUCAAAAAAAUGACUGUUCAGGGGGCCGUCAUCCAGGUUUCAGCCAGUGACCGUUGUGUGGAGCUAGCUGGGGGAAGGAUAGUGGUAAUUGACAACAUCGUAGUUGACAACAAGGCAGACGUCCACAUAGUGUUUAGGCCAUUCACAAAGCUCUGCAACCUCUUCCACUAUCCCCUUGAAUCCUCUGAAGUUGGCAUCUAUCAUCUAUCUGCCCUGACACCCCAACUGCACCACACUCUAGCUGCCCACAUAAAGAGGAAAUAUGUCCUGCUUCCAGUUAAGGAUGGUUUUGCUGGGCUACCAAUGGUACACCAGUAGGACUGCUGUUUUUGUAUGUUUGCGUAAGUGUCACAGUUUUGUUCAGUUUUAACAGCUGAUAUGUUGUAUCUGCCCAUAUCCUAAAUCUGAUGAAUGGAUUGAAUGUUUUAGAAAUUAUAGUAGAUCAUUUUGUAUUCACAAGUGUCCCAACUCAUGUGGAAUUGCUGUAGCAAUUGUUAUUAUAUUAUUAUAUAGGUAUUGAGCAUUAACAUGUCACUAUUUCUCCCUUCAACAGACAUACAAGAUACAUCAUACAAGAAAAUAUAUUUUUAUUUAUUUUAUUUUAUUUUAUUUAUUUGUAUUUAUUAAGAAAUGUAUUUAGUUGUGUCCUUCCCCGAGGAGGGGUUCAUUUUUACUGUUCCCAACACAUGGAUUGCUUCCAAUAAUAAAUGCUACUGGCCACCUUACACAUCCAAAGAAAAAGUCAAGAAGGCUGCCUUAGCAAAUGAAUCCCCUGACCCCCAGACAUGGACCUUGUAUCCAGUGGUCAUACUUAAAGUUAAAGAAACGUAUAAAAAGGCCCAUAAUUUUUAUAUGAAGGCAAAAAAAGGAGAGUCAUUGGAUACCACCGAUGAUGAUGUGAAAAGAAAAAGAAAGCCAAAUAUGAAAUUUUCCCUGCCCGACUACUCCAGUGAAGACGAUGACAAUCGGAAUCUCCCCCCGCCUCCAAAAAUCCCAAGAGCACCAGCAAAAAAAAAAACUAUUCCAAAUUCAGGUUAGUGAUCUCUCUGAAAACAAAUUCCAUUUUCUUUAUAUUUAU